UACGUAGGGGGCUAGCGUUGUCCGGAAUCAUUGGGCGUAAAGAGCGUGUAGGCGGCUUGGUAAGUCCGCUGUGAAAGUCCAGGGCUCAACCCUGGAAAGCCAGUGGAAACUGUCAAGCUAGAGUCCGGAAGAGGCGAGUGGAACUCCUGGUGUAGCGGUGAAAUGCGCAGAUAUCGGAAGGAACACCUGUGGCGAAAGCGGCUCACUGGACCAUAACUGACGCUGAGGCGCGAAAGCUAGGGGAGCAAACAGG
rnacentral:rRNA from 1 species